rnacentral:rRNA from 1 species
UACGUAGGGUGCGAGCGUUGUCCGGAAUUACUGGGCGUAAAGAGCUCGUAGGUGGUUUGUCGCGUUGUUCGUGAAAUCUCACGGCUUAACUGUGAGCGUGCGGGCGAUACGGGCAGACUUGAGUACUGCAGGGGAGACUGGAAUUCCGUGGUGUAGCGGUGGAAUGCGCAGAUAGUCAGGAAGGAACACCGGUGGCGAAGGCGGGUCUCUGGGCAGUAACUGACGCUGAGGAGCGAAAGCCGU